AGGUGCAAGUGACUCCCAAAUAAAUUAUUUGAAAAUUCAAAAAAAAUAAAAGAUCUCUCUCUCUCUCUCCCCCACCACGACCAAACAAUUUCUAGCAAUUUUCCUAUUGGCUAAAAAAAAUAACGACACGAACAUUAGAGACUCAAUGGAACGGCCACAUUCAACCACCUCAAACUCCACCCUACUGCCGCCUCGACCUCAGGACGCCGCCACCACCGGAUACAACUCCAUCCCACCAUCACAUGCUGCCCAUCUAUUGGGUCACACGCCACAACAAACGACCUGCCUCCCCCAACUCACAGACCAAAACCAAGGCAACAAUACUAUUUUUUGGCAAUACCCAUGCCAUUAGCCACCAAUCGGUAAUAUCUACUCCCUAAAGACGAUCCCUUUCAUAGUCCUAUAACAUCAAAAUAAGUUCUCAAUCAAAAUCUGUUGCCUCAAAAAUUAAGCCAUAAGCCUCCAAAAUUGACAAUCCAAAAUGUGAAAAGAUGAAUCUAAUGAGCCGAGCUUCGAUGAAAUCUAUCCUCUAAUUCAAAUGGCACGUCAAAACCAAGGUCUCGAGUUCACCUCAGUUUUUCUCCACCGAAUCCGUCGAGGCAAGCUAGGAUUAGAGGCAGGAUCAAUUUCUUCAAACCCCAUCUUCGGGUUUGGUUUGAAACUCUGAUGGAAGUAUAUUGUUGGAAAUUGUUUGGUGGCGGUGGCGGUGACGGUGGCGGAAGUGGAGGAAGAGAAGGUGCAAAAAAUGUUUUUUGUUUCAAUUUUUUUGUUACUUCUAAGUGAAAAAAUUUGGUUUACGAGUUUGGUU
rnacentral:lncRNA from 1 species